rnacentral:tRNA from 1 species
CCGUAGCUCAAUGGAUAGAGCGUCUGACUCCGGAUCAGAAGGUUGCAAGUUCGAAUCUUGUCGG